GCGGCANGCCUAACACAUGCAAGUCGGACGGUAGCACAGAGGAGCUUGCUCCUCGGGUGACGAGUGGCGGACGGGUGAGUAAUGUCUGGGGAUCUGCCCGAUAGAGGGGGAUAACCACUGGAAACGGUGGCUAAUACCGCAUAACGUCGCAAAGACCAAAGAGGGGGGACCUUCGGGNCCUCUCACUAUCGGNAUGAACCCCGAUUGGGAUUAACUUAUNAGGNCGGGNUAACGGCCCCC
rnacentral:rRNA from 1 species